rnacentral:ncRNA from 1 species
NNNNNNNNNNAGCUAGAGUAUGGGAGAGGAUGGUAGAAUUCCAGGUGUAGCGGUGAAAUGCGUAGAGAUCUGGAGGAAUACCGAUGGCGAAGGCAGCCAUCUGGCCUAAUACUGACGCUGAGGUACGAAAGCAUGGGGAGCAAACAGGAUUAGAUACCCUGGUAGUCCAUGCCGUAAACGAUGUCUACUAGCCGUUGGGGCCUUUGAGGCUUUAGUGGCGCAGCUAACGCGAUAAGUAGAC